rnacentral:sRNA from 1 species
GCCGGGCGCCGUGGCGCAUGCCUGUAAUCCCAGUGGCUCAGGAGGCUGAGACAGGAGGAUCACGAGUUCAAAGCCAGUUUCAAUAACUCAGUGAGACCCUGUCUCAA